UACGGAGGAUCCAAGCGUUAUCCGGAAUCAUUGGGUUUAAAGGGUCCGUAGGCGGCCCAGUAAGUCAGUGGUGAAAUCUCCCCGCUCAACGGGGAAACGGCCAUUGAUACUGCUGGGCUUGAAUUAUUGGGAAGUAACUAGAAUAUGUAGUGUAGCGGUGAAAUGCUUAGAGAUUACAUGGAAUACCGAUUGCGAAGGCAGGUUACUACCAAUACAUUGACGCUGAUGGACGAAAGCGUGGGUAGCGAACAGG
rnacentral:rRNA from 1 species